rnacentral:rRNA from 1 species
CCAAUAGCGUAUAUUAAAGUUGUUGCAGUUAAAAAGCUCGUAGUUGAACUUCGGGGUUCACCCAUUGGUCAGGCUUAAUUGUCUGCACUGGUGAGAUGAGUCUCUACCUUCUGAGGAACUUUCAUGCCAUUUAUUUGGUGUGGUUGGAAAUCAGGACUGUUACUUUGAAAAAAUUAGAGUGUUUAAAGCAGGCUAACGUCUGAAUACAUUAGCAUGGAAU